UACGGGGGGGGCAAGCGUUGUUCGGAAUUACUGGGCGUAAAGGGCUCGUAGGUGGCCAACUAAGUCGGACGUGAAAUCCCUCAGCUUAACUGGGGAACUGCGUCCGAUACUGGAUGGCUUGAGUUUGGGAGAGGGAUGCGGAAUUCCAGGUGUAGCGGUGAAAUGCGCAGAUAUCAGGAGGAACACCAAUUGCGAAGGCAGCUCGCUGGGACGUUACUGACGCUGAGACGCGAAAGCGUGGGGAGCAAACAGG
rnacentral:rRNA from 1 species